UACGUAGGGGGCUAGCGUUGUCCGGAAUCAUUGGGCGUAAAGAGCGUGUAGGCGGCCCGGUAAGUCCGCUGUGAAAGUCGGGGGCUCAACCCUCGAAUGCCGGUGGAUACUGUCGGGCUAGAGUGCGGAAGAGGCGAGUGGAAUUCCUGGUGUAACGGUGAAAUGCGCAGAUAUCAGGAGGAACACCAAUUGCGAAGGCAGCUCGCUGGGACGUAACUGACGCUGAGACGCGAAAGCGUGGGGAGCAAACAGG
rnacentral:rRNA from 1 species